GGGCUUGUGGUUUAGUGGUAUAAUACUCCCUUAGCAUUAUUAGUCCAACUUGGAUCUAAUAAUCGUGUGGGAGUGGUCCGGGGUUCGAUUCCCCGCGAGUCCA